AAUUAUGUGUAUGUUUCCUUUAUGUUUCAAUUUAUAGUUUUGAAGUUUCGUGCCUGAAAAAUUCUUUCCGUUGUACAAUCUGAAGGGGAUUUUUGUUGUAUUUCAACUUCACUUUUCACUAUAUAUUGCAAUGAUUACAUACUUUGUUGUGACUAUAGUUUUGGAGGCUACUGCUAAAACAAAUGCUAAUAGGGAACAAGUGGGAGGUAAAAUGAAGAAAAACCCGAGCAUUACUUCUAUAUUUGAAGAAACUAACAACAUAGCUAAAUAAUAGUAGUUCAACUUAACAACAUGAUUAUGUGACAAAAAAUCUCUUACCUCUCUAAAAUUUGGUCUUGGUAUAAUGCAAGGAACUCAGAUUUGUCACAUUAUUAUGUAAGUUAGAUUUUGGUUGAGGACUUCACCACACUUGGCCUUAUCCAUUAACAUGGACCAUGAAGAUUGCCACCUUAUAUUAAUAUUAUAAAGGCUGGUUAUAACAUAGAUGAGUACUGCACCUCCAAAUGAUCAAUGAUUUCAGCAACUACGCUUGUGAAAACUUCUGUAUUGAUAAUUAUUUACAUUCUUACUGAGGCCUACAGAUGCAUGUGAGAAAAGAAGUCUGAUCACAAUGAUCCGAUUACAACAUGUCAGCUUAAAAGUUUAAAAAUUAAGAUUUAGGAUGGAAGUUGCAAAUUGAGUACUUUUGCCUAUGUAGCAGUAUCAAAUAGCAUGUGAACCAAAUCUUAAAAGAUAUUCACGUGCGAUUAGUUCUGACCACAACUUUCUGUUAUCUCUUCUUGUUUCAUUGUUUCUUUUUUCCUUUUUUCCAUUUUUACAUGAGGGUAGGGGGUCUGGAUUGGACUAUACGCAUUUUGUGAGGAUUUCCUAAUAUUUCAUUGGUAAGAAGGUGAGAACUUAUCUUUAUCUUUAUUUUGCCAGCUCGAGUUCACCAUCUAAUAUAGCAAUUAGCAAGUCCUACUUUGUAUUGAAGCUUGAACAUUAAUUAUUUUUUCAUGUCGUGAUACGUGAAAGCUAGAAGAGAAUAAGGUUCAUUAUGCUGCAGAUGAGUAGGCCAGAUUACAACGAUGGAGUUUGGUCUACACGCUGUUCUUGUUCGGGAUUUGAUUAAAAAAAGAUAUGGCUGAAGAAGGACAUGUUCGAAUUACUCCUAGUGGGAGUUCUCGAAGUCAAGGAAGAGGACAACAUAGAAGGGUACGUCGCCGCAGGACUUAUUUCUAUAAUGAUUCAGACUCGCAGCCUGAAGUCAUCAGGAAUGUCCCAAGGGCGAGACAAAAUAAGUUAAGGGAUCGAAGGGCUGAACGAAGGGAAAGAGAAAAGAAAUUUAGGGAGUUUAAGAAAUUUAAAAUGGGCCCUGAUAUUUCCGUUCCUGAACAUGUACACCUCUUUAAGAUAAAAAGAGUUGAAUUGGCUAAUUACAUAGAAAUUACUGAUUGGGAAGCAUUAGCUAUUUUAGCGGACUCUCUUCGAGAGCCUUGGGGUGAAAUUUUAACUGAGAUUUAUCAUGAUGUUUGGCCUAGUGCACGUUUUAGUGUAUAUGAGCAAGAGUUAUUAUGUGUUUUAUUUUAAUGAAA